GCUCGGGUGCUGUACGACCAGCUCCUUCUGAACUCCCCCAGGGCGGAAACGCAGCAAGGGUAAGAAGUUGAGCGGUGCGAUACGGCACUCGUUUUUU
rnacentral:SRP_RNA from 1 species